UACGGAGGGUGCAAGCGUUAUCCGGAUUCACUGGGUUUAAAGGGUGCGUAGGUGGGCAGGUAAGUCAGUGGUGAAAUCUCCGGGCUUAACUCGGAAACUGCCAUUGAUACUAUCUGUCUUGAAUACCGUGGAGGUAAGCGGAAUAUGUCAUGUAGCGGUGAAAUGCUUAGAUAUGACAUAGAACACCAAUUGCGUAGGCAGCUUACUACACGAUCAUUGACGCUGAGGCACGAAAGCGUGGGGAUCAAACAGG
rnacentral:rRNA from 1 species